AUGGUGUCACAAAUUCAGGUUAUCAUGUUCCUGCUUCUCUGGGUGUCUGGUGCCAGUGCUGAUAUCGUGAUGACCCAGUCUCCAUCCUCACUGGCUCUGUCAGCAGGGGAGAAGGUCACCAUCAGCUGCAAGUCUAGUCAGAGUCUUUUAGAUGGUAACACUAACUACUUGGCUUGGUACCAGCAGAAACCAGGGCAGACUCCUAAACUACUGAUCUACUAUACAUCCAAUUGUUACACUGGGGUUCCUGAUCAUUUCACAGGCAGUGGAUCUAGGACAGAUUUCACCCUCACCAUCAACAGUGUCCAGGCUGAAGACAUGGCAUAUUACUACUGUAUGCAGCAUUAUGAUCUUCCUCCCACAGUGCUUCAGACUCCAACAAAAACCUCUCUGAGAUUCUUAACAGAUGCCUAA